rnacentral:rRNA from 1 species
ACUGAAUCCGGUAAUCAAUGGCCACUAGUCUGCUGACACUUGGAACACACGACGAGACAGAGGAAUCGAGAGGCCGGCAGAGAGAUGGAUAUCUGGCAAAAUUCGCCCUUAGAGUUUGAUCAUGGGUCAGGAUGAACGCUAGGGGCAGGCCUAAUACAUGCAAGUCGAACGGGCCGCAAGGCCAGUGGCAAACGGGUGCGUAACGCGUAAGCAACCUGCCCUCAACUGGGGGAUAGCCCGGCGAAAGCUGGGGUAAACCCGCACGGUCCCUUUCUGCUACCUGGCAGGAUGGGUAAACAUUUAUGGGUUGAGGAGGGGCUUGCGUCUGAUUAGCUAGUUGGCAGGGUAACGGCCUACCAAGGCGAUGAUCAGUAGGGGUUCUGAGAGGAUUGGCCCCCACAUGGGUACUGAGAUACGGACCCAACUCCUACGGGAGGCAGC